rnacentral:rRNA from 1 species
AUAAGGUUAAGUUAAUAAGGGCGCACGGUGGAUGCCUUGGCACUAGGAGCCGAAGAAGGACGUGACAAACGACGAUAUGCCUUGGGUAGCUGUAAGUAAGCGAUGAUCCAGGGAUUUCCGAAUGGGGGAACCCAACAGGUACUACCUGUUACCCGCAUCUGUUAAGGAUGUGAGGAGGAAGACGCAGUGAACUGAAACAUCUAAGUAGCUGCAGGAAGAGAAAGCAAAAGCGAUUGCCUUAGUAGCGGCGAGCGAAACGGCAGAAGGGCAAACCGAAGAGUUUACUCUUCGGGGUUGUAGGACUGCAAUGUGGAUUCAAAGAUUAUAGAAGAAUGA